CCUACGGGUGGCAGCAGUGAGGAAUAUUGGUCAAUGGACGAGAGUCUGAACCAGCCAAGUAGCGUGAAGGAUGACUGCCCUAUGGGUUGUAAACUUCUUUUAUAUGGGAAUAAAACGUUCCACGUGUGGGAUUUUGUAUGUACCAUAUGAAAAAGGAUCGGCUAACUCCGUGCCAGCAGCCGCGGUAAUACGGAGGAUCCGAGCGUUAUCCGGAUUUAUUGGGUUUAAAGGGAGCGUAGGUGGAUUGUUAAGUCAGUUGUGAAAGUUUGCGGCUCAACCGUAAAAUUGCAGUUGAAACUGGCAGUCUUGAGUACAGUAGAGGUGGGCGGAAUUCGUGGUGUAGCGGUGAAAUGCUUAGAUAUCACGAAGAACUCCGAUUGCGAAGGCAGUUCACUGGACUGCAACUGACACUGAGGCUCGAAAGUGUGGGUAUCAAACAGGAUUAGAUACCCUUGUAGUC
rnacentral:rRNA from 1 species